rnacentral:rRNA from 1 species
UACGUAGGGUGCAAGCGUUAAUCGGAAUUACUGGGCGUAAAGCGUGCGCAGGCGGCUUUGCAAGACAGAUGUGAAAUCCCCGGGCUCAACCUGGGAACUGCAUUUGUGACUGCAAGGCUAGAGUACGGUAGAGGGGGGAUGGAAUUCCGCGUGUAGCAGUGAAAUGCGUAGAGAUGUGGAGGAACACCGAUGGCGAGGGGCAGCCCCCCUGGGCUAACACUGACGCUCAUGCACGAAAGCGUGGGGAGCAAACAGG